GGGGCGCACGCGCCGCCCGGUGCGGGGCGAUCGCGCCGCUUCGCUACAUUGUAUCCGCCGGCGGCGGAGAACAAUAGGCGCCGCCGCCGCCCCCGGGCCUGGGCGCCGCGGCCGCCCCCGCCCCCGCCGCGACCCCCGACACCCUUCAUGCGCUUCCCCUGCCCCGGGCGCGCCGGGCCUGGAACAGGACUGCCACUGUUGAGUCUGUGGGAAUAUGAAUCAGCAGCAGCAGAGAAUGGCUGCAGUUGGGACAGACAAAGAGCUCAGUGACCUGCUGGACUUCAGUAUGAUGUUUCCCUUGCCAGUGGCUAAUGGAAAAAACAGACCCACGACCCUUGCGAGCACUCAGUUUGGAGGAUCAGGCUUGGAUGAAAGGCCGGGAUCAGGUUCCUGGGGAACGGCAGAUCAAAACAGCUCCACGUUUGACCAAGGAAGGCAGAGCUAUGGUGAAGGCCCCCACUACGGUGAGCACCGGGACCUGCCAUCCCACAACAGCAUCUCCUCGUCACCGUUCCUGGGAGCUGGACUCGUGGGGAAGAGCAGUGAAAGAGCCUCAUACUCCACGUUUGGAAGAGACACAGGGAUGCCAGGACUAAACCAGCCUGGUUUCCUGCCCAGCGAGAUGGGAAUCGCCAGCCCGAGCACGCUUUCCCCCACCGGGGGCAAAGGGGGGUCUCAGUAUUUUUCUUACCCCAACAAUCCUCGCAGGAGAGGUGCAGAGAGCAGCAUAGAUGGACAGCCCAAAAAGGUUCGGAAGGUGCCUCCUGGACUCCCCUCCUCGGUGUAUCCAUCCAACUCAGGUGAUGACUACAGCAGGGACCCAGCUGGAUAUACUCCCUCGAAACCUCCCAGCACUGUGUAUCCUGGAGCCUUUUACAUGACAGAUGGACUCCACAACUCUCCAGACCUGUGGAGUUCCCCGGGUGCCAUGAGCCAGUCGAGUUACGGUGCCAUGCUGGGCAGCUCCUCGUCCCCGCUCCCGCAGCCCAGCAGCUUCAACAGUUUACACCAGCACGAACGCAUGAACUACCAGCUGCACUCCGGAGAGGUGAACGGCGGGCUCCCCUCCGUGUCCGGCUUCUCCUCGGCCUCCACGGCGUACGGAGUGUCCAGUCACACCCCCCCCAUCAGCGGCACCGACACCAUCAUGGGUAACAGAGGAACCACAGCCGGGAGCUCCGGAGACGCUCUCGGGAAGGCUCUGGCCUCGAUUUACUCCCCCGACCACUCUAGCAAUAACUUCUCCUCCAACCCCUCCACCCCGGUCGGGUCCCCGCAGGGCCUCGCAGGCUCGUCGCAGUGGCCGCGGGCGGGCGGAGCGGGUGCCUUAUCUCCCAGUUACGAAGGGAGCCUCCACACUUUGCAAAACAAAAUGGAAGACAGGUUGGAUGAAGCCAUCCACGUGCUGAGGAACCACGCCGUGGGCCAGACCUCUGCCAUGCCCAGCAACCACGGGGACAUGCACGGGCUGCUGGGCUCAGCACCAGCACACAGUGCUGCCGUGGGCAGCCUGGGCCAGCCCUUCCCCGCCUCAGUCAUGGCCCUGGGGAACAGGCACCCGAGUCUGGUGGGAGGAGGCCACCCCGAGGAUGGGCUGUCCAGCAACCCCAGCUUGCUCCACAACCAUGUGACACUUCCAUCACAGCCCAGCUCGCUCCCGGACCUCAGCAGGCAGCAGGACACGUACAGUGGCUUGUCCGGGGGGCUGGGCCGGAGCAGCGUCUCCUCAGGAACGAGCGAGAUAAAGAGGGAAGAGAAGGAGGAUGAGGAGAACACGUCAGUGGCAGAUAACUCAGAAGAGGAGAAGAAGGAGCUAAAACCCUCCCGGAACAGAACAAGGUGCUCUUUGAACAGUCAAGAUGAGGAUGAGGAGGACGAUCUUCUUCCCCCAGAGCAAAAAGCCGAGAGAGAAAGAGAAAGGAGGGUCGCCAAUAAUGCCCGUGAGCGCCUGCGGGUUCGUGACAUCAACGAGGCCUUUAAGGAGCUCGGACGCAUGUGCCAGCUGCACCUAAACAGCGAAAAACCGCAGACCAAACUGCUAAUCCUACACCAGGCCGUAUCAGUCAUACUGAACCUGGAGCAACAAGUUAGAGCAGUACAGACGAGGCCUUGUCACUGGAGGACAAAGAUCUGAGGGACCGGGAGAGGAGAAUGGCCAAUAACGCCAGGGAGAGGGUGCGUGUGCGGGACAUUAACGAGGCCUUUAAGGAGCUGGGACGCAUGUGCCAGAUGCACUUAAAAACGGACAAAGCACAGACCAAACUGAUCAUCCUGCAGCAGGCCGUGCAGGUCAUUCUGGGCCUGGAGCAGCAAGUACGAGAGCGCAAUCUGAACCCAAAAGCGGCCUGCUUGAAACGUCGGGAAGAGGAGAAAGUGUCCGGAGUGGUAGGAGACCCCCAGAUGACACUGUCAGCUUCCCAUCCUGGUCUAGGAGACGGUCACAACCCUGUUGGACACAUGUAAAGAUCUUUUUGUUCCUCUGGAUACGGAGAUCUGUAGGAAGAAAACCCUCGGCGUGACCUGCAACCCUGUUGAACCAUAAACUGUAGUACUGCUCAUACUGACACACGCAGACGGAUCCUGGCGUGACGUAAGGAGUGGAAAAAACACUUUGUCAAAAACAAAACGGAAACAAAAAAUUGCCUUAAGUAUAAAGUGCAGAACAGUCAAUACAUAUCACUCAGUUAGGAGGGGGUGGCGUGUUCUCUUGGCUUGUUCACAAGCAGCCAGCAGCAAAAUUGUGCCUAAGCUUGAUAUUUCUUUUUUAAAAAAAAAGAACAUUAGUUAUGAGAUUUUUUUAUGUAGAACAAAUAGCAAUGCCUUUUGGUUUUUUUAGCUUCUUUUGCAUAUGUUUUGUAAGCAACGAAAAAAUUUUUUUUUGUAUAAAAACAUGUCUUGUACCCUCCGCUUUUCUGCUGCUGUUUCUAUAGUUAACGUUGCAUCUUUAGGAUCAACCAGAAUAUUAAAAUUGUAUUAAGAGAGACUGGAUAUAAAGAGAGGAAUUCUCAGAUUCGGCUCGGAAAGCCACUAAAAGCGAAUGUAGCCACAGUGAGGGAAUGUUCUUCCUUGCCUGGCUUGUACCUUCCAUGACAAAAAACAAACUCGUGCUGAAUUCACCAUCUCUUUUCUUCGGCCACUUCUGAUUUGGGAAAAGGAAGUUAAACAGCAGAGCGAGUGGCAGCAGUGCUCCCGCUGCCCCGGGCAGUGACCGGUGCUCGGCGGGGUUGGCCUUGUCCCGGAGCGUCGGGAGAGAGCAGCCCCGGGAGCAGGAGAACCAGGGACUGAGGCGCUGCCAGGUGAGCAGAGCAGCAAGGGAUGCACAGGGAAGAGCCUGUUCCACAGGGCAGAGCUGCCCGAGGCGCUUCCAGGAGCAGCACUGAACAAAGACCAAGUGAACAAAGCUGGAGCGUGGCAGGAGGCGGAGGCAGCGGAGCAGCAGCAGCGGGGCACGGGGCCAGGAGGCCGGGACACGGGGCCAGGAGGCCGGGACACGGGGCCAGGAGGCCGGGGCACGGGGCCAGGAGGCCGGGCAGCAGCAGCCUGAGGGUGCUGCAGGCAGGGAAGGAGCAGCGAGCUGGCCACUCCAGCCUGGGCAAAGCCGUGAGCAGCAGGAUCCCUUCUCGAACCGGAGCCAUCGGAAAUGCAAAAUGCUGCCUCGGGGAGAGGGGUGGCUUCACACCCCACUGUCACCUGCUGUCACAUCUCCCAGGCGUCCUUGGAGGCAAACUGAGCUCAGCACUGCCACGGGAUGUGAGUGGCCACCAUCACCUGCACAUGGGCUCCUUCCUUGGCACUGGGGAGGAGGGCAGCAGGAGCUCCUGUCCGUGUACUCCAAGCAGCCAGCUAUCCCUUCACUCCAAGGGAUUCCCAGUCACUCCAGACCACUCUGGUGUGCUCAGCAGGAGGAGGAUCCCUGGCAGCCCCUCUGGGUGCCCUGGAGGUGUGGAGCAAAGAGGUGCUGGGCAGUUCUGGGCUGCAGCAGCCGGUUUGGAGAUGGCCAUGGCAAAACAUCCACCAGGAAUUUACUCUUGUUUCUUCCCUCUCCUUCCCCUUGUGAAACGUUUUGUGCCUGGUUCUUCCCAGCUCUGCAGAGCCCAGUCAGGCAGGAUGGUGCAUGAGACAUGGGUACUGGUCUGGGGGAUGUGGGGAACUCCCCUCUCCCCUGCAGGCUCCAUCUCUCCCUGUGCUGCUCCAGCCUGGGCUCCUGGGGAAGCUGUGUUGCUGUGGCACAGGGAAAGGGAGGGACUGGCAAACAGGAUUAGGUCCUGUGGCAUUUGCCAGCAACCCCAGGCUCUUGGCAUAACCUGGUGCUCCUCCACGUGCUUUGUGCUCUGGCAAGCUCUGCUGGAAGUGAUCAGGGCAGUGCUUAUCUCCCACCCUCACCUGGGCACUGUGGCCUCAGCCCCUGUGGCAGCUCCAAGCUGAGCCACUCCAAGUGCCAGGGCAGGAUGGGACUGUCCCUGCUGCCCCUGGCCCUGCCCUGGGCUCCCCAGCAUCCAACCAUCACUCUGAAGCUUUUGGGUGCUCUCGCCAUUCCUUCUGCGUGGUGAGACCUCAGCAGCCCCAGCUCUGUCCCUGGGAAGGGCAGGAAACUCCGUGGUUCCAGUAACCCAGGUGCUUCUUGCCUGUGUCAACAGACACAUUUUAGCCUAAUCAGCUCAUCAGGUUACAACACUUCCCUCCCUGGGGCUCCUGUGGGUGCUGGAGCAGGGGGCAGGGAGAUGGAUGAGGUUUUUCUCCCCUUGUGACAGCCUUGACUCCAUUCAUGCUCUGGAGUGCAAACUGGAGGGCUCAGCAGCUGCUUUCUGUUUCAUCCUGCUCCAUUGGUGAGACUGCAAAGUACCCACUGCUCAGGGGUUUUGGCUGGCUCAGUGCCCCUGUCCCAGGACCAGGAGGGAUGGAGCAGUGUCCCAGCCCUGGAAAGCUUGAAACCCUACAAAAAAAAUUAAAAGUGGUUCACAAACCCUUUGAUUUUGCCCCAAGAAUUGCAGGUGGCAAGAAUGGGCAACUGGACUUAAAGGACUAGUCAAGAAAAAUCCGUAAAUUCAACAAAAGUGGAAACCUGAGAAGAUUUAUGAGUUGUUCACAAAUUUGCUGAACUUCUUUAUCCCCUCCUAGUCCUGUAGGCCAAGGAGGAAUCCUGAUGAGCCAGAGCCUUUCUCACCAUCCCAGAAUCCCCAGGCAUUGCAACAAAAAUGGGGCUUUUCAUCUGCAUUUAGGUGGUUUAAGAUGUUACUUCUGACAGCAAAUCCAGCCAGCUUCCUUCCAUGGCAAGACUUGGGUGAAGAUCCUUGAGCAUGAGCCCUCAGAGGCAGGGUUUGGAGAGAUCAUCUCAAAAGCACAAUGUAGGGGGUGGCAGUGCUGUCCCUGGAGCUGCCUUGAUGGCACAGGGUGACAUUUUGUGUGCCAGCCCAGUGUGGCCUCAGUGGCAUCUCUGCAUUCCAGGUGCUCAGGGAACAACUGGGAAGAACAGCAAGGAAAAAUUCCUUUGUCUUGCCAAUGUGUUUGGCUCAGUGUGAACAUGGUGCCUGUAAUCUGCCAGGGAAAGUGGCUUUUCUAAAAAGAACCACUGCCAGGUGCUGUCCCCAAAAUACCCCCAGCCCAGCCCUGAAAUGUCACCCUGUAGCAAUGAAACUCUUGUCUUGAGGUGUUGUGGUCAGUGAGGACCAGGUCUGCACCUCUCCAGCCCACAGCUCUGCUCCAUUCCACUUGGGAUCUUAGAGAUCCCCAGACCUGCUCCUCUGCCUGUCUGUGUCCCCCACAGCAGUGGGGCUGCCAGGAGAGGUGUCACGGGGGGUGACAUGCUGUAUGGUGCCAUUUAUUCCAUCUUCUCCUUCCUCUCUCAGCCUUUGCUUGCAUGGCCGCUCCUGGGGACACGUGCCCUCUUCUUUGGGGGCCACUGAGCCCCCCCAAAGCUUCCUUCAUCAGAUGGGGCAGAUGCCUUCCCUUCUGUGCAGCUUCUAGUCCCUCUUUCCCCAGGCUGCAUCCCCGUGGAGUAGCAGAACUGGGGCACUGCCAUGGGACAUUUCCUGUGUCCCCAGCCCAGGGCCCUCCUGUUGCCCUGCUCAGCCAGCCCCCUGCCCCCCUGCACACAGGCUGUGCAUGCCACAGGACUGGGGAGCAUCUGCAAUCCAGUCUGUGAACGGGAAAAUUGCAGAUUGUUGUUUUCUCCCUUUUCACCUGCUUUUUCCCCAGAGCAAAGCAGCUGCAGCCUCCCAUGGCUUGGUGCUCAGGCAGUGGUGGCAAUGUGGCUGCUCCUGCUCACAGCCCAGGGAGCAAAUUCCAGCUGUGUGGCAGUCACCCCCUGUCACAGCCCCCAGCUCAGGGGCAGAAUUCCAGCUGUGUGGCAGUCACCCCCUGUCACAGCCCCCAGCCCAGGGAGCAAAUUCCAGCUGUGUGACAGUCCCCCCUGUCACAGCCCCCAGCCCAGGGGCAGAAUUCCAGCUGUGUGGCAGUCACCCCUGCCCGUGACCCCCACUCACAGCCCCAGCCAGCAGCUCUCGGGGCUCUCUGCUGCCCUGCUUUCACAGCUGCCCCCCAGAGCUGUGCUGGCAGGAAGGAUGGACUCAACCUGUGGUUUCCUCAGGAGGCUGUAAUUCCAGAGUCAGGGCAGAAACUGCUCUCCAAGGUCCCUUGUGCCCCACCAGUGUCCCCACUGAAGCCAGCAGAGCCUUGGGCCCUUGCUGGGUGGUUCCAGUUGUGGGGGAUGGAGAAACAGGAGGUUCUGGCACCCCCCAAUCCCUUGCACCCCUUGAGCUUUGCUGCCAACUUUGUGGCGAGUGGAACCCGAGUUCCUCUUGCAGGCCCUGCUGUGCUGUACUGGGGAGCCUGGGCCAGCUGCAGUUCCAUCCCUGGGCUGUGGGAGGUGAAGCAAAGCUGGGGAUGGAGCUGGGCCAGAACAAGCCUUGAGCCCCCAGCUGCAGUGCUGGCAAACCCAGAGCAAGCCCUGGCCACUGGACUCCCCCUUCCUGCCCAACACCAGCAAUAGCAAGGCCUGUUUUCUGUACCCCGAGCUUGCACAAGGUCUUUGCCCUGUUAAAAAUCCUAUGCAAAUCUUAUCCCUCUCCCCUCUUCCAGGGCUCUGCAGAUCCCAGCCCAGCCAGUUCUCUCUGCUCUUGUCUGUAAUUCCUACUCCCUGCUGCCCUCAGGGUCCAGCUUCAUUCCUGGCAGCUCCAAAAGCAUUUUGAGACCUGUGCUCUGGAGCUGGGAGGGGGCAGGUGAGACUGUAGGAGCACCCAGCUCAUACUGAGCGCUGAACUGCAGGGGCAGGGCCUGGUCCUGGGGCUCCUGCACGCACCCUUCAUCCUCCUGUGCCUUCUGCUCCAUGCUGGUGGGGCUCUGCCAGCAUCCCUCAUCCCCCUGAAAGGAGAAGCUCUGUUCCACCUUGCUGCUGCCCAGACUGCCCUCUUCUAACUCCUGAGCCUCAGGCUUGGCUGGGGCUGCUCUUCCUUCAGCCACCGCAAGCCUGAAGGGGUGUUUCCCUUCCUCCCAUGCUCCCCAGUCUCUCCAGCCAGCAUCUCUGAGCUGUUUCCCUUUGCAGAGGGGCAGCCCAUGCCAGCAGCUGCCCAUCAGCUGGGACACAGGCAGGAGGAUUUGGGGGGUGGGUGCUGCCAGUGUCCCCCAGCACAGCUGCCUCUCCCUGCUCUUGGGGACCUGGUGCUCUGUACUUUGAUUUCCAGGACAAUUCAGCCCUUUUGGGGAGCCAGCAGAGCUGUGCCUGCAGGACUCCCACGGGAAGGGGGCUCUGCUUAGGAGGGUGGUGCAGGCUCCUCGUGACCUUUUGCCAAACCUUGUGUGUCCAUCUGCAGCCCAGCUCUGGGCCAAGGGUACUCCUGUCGUGGGUCUCCACACUGGUAUCUCUGUUCCCCUGGGUUUGUACCCCUCCUGCUCCUCAGGGCUCCCCGUUCCCACCCUGGCCCAGCCAAGCAAGGCUCCAACUAACACUCACCCCAGGACAUCUCAGCCCAGCGUGGCUGCAGCACCAGCCCAGGAGAGCAGAGGCGUUCCUGCUUCCAAAGGGGAUGUCCUGGUACCAAGGCCUUUGGCCAAAGAGCAUCCCCGUGCCCUGCAUCCCUGGGCUGUGCCAUGCACCCCUGGGCUGUGCCCGGGAGCCGUGGGGCUCCUGGAGGCAGCAAGCUGGGGACACCACGGGUCCCCCUUGCCAGGGCCACGUCUUCCCAAAUGAGCAGAACCCAGCAGCUUUUGGGCAAACCUUGUGCCAUGGAGCACCUGGGAGGGAAGGAGCCGCUGCUCCUGUGCCUGGGGGGGCAGGGCAGGGGGGCCCCCGCGCUGGGAGUGACCUGUUGGGUGCCCAGGGCUCCAGCUCUCUGGAAACAAAGCAUUCCUGGGAUGUUCUUUAUAUUUUUGUAGGAAUGGGGGGUGGGAGAGCAGAUGGGAGAUGCCUGCGGAAGUUGUUUAUUUUUAACCCUGUAGAAAGUUAUGGGUUGUCUUUGGUUUUUGGCCUUUAAAAUGAAAAAUGGUCCUUGCUUUUGAUGUUUAUGCUGCCUACCUGUAAAUCCAGAUGUACUUAAGUGGCUGAAAUCCUUGUUCUUAAAUCAGAUACACAUUAUAGUUUUGAAUUAUAUAUAUAGUAAAUAUAUAUAUAUAUAUGCCUAACCCAGCAAAAAAUAAAAAAAAAAAUAAAGUAUUUGGGGGUGGGAAAUGCAUUGCUCUUUGAAAUGAAUCACAAUUGGGGGAUGAAAUUGUGUUUCUGAGUGCCUCAAGAUAUGAAUUGUUUUCAUUUUUUUAAAUAAUUUUAUACAAGUGUCAAAACAGCUGGCUGGAUUAUUUGGAAUUUUUAAAUAAUCCUAACUUUUUUAAAGUAGAUUUUGAGAACUGUCCUGUAUAUAACAGUAAUGUAGCAAUAAAUGUGACAUUUUAUAACAAUA